UACGUAGGGUGCGAGCGUUAAUCGGAAUUACUGGGCGUAAAGCGUGCGCAGGCGGUUCGUUAUGUCCGAUGUGAAAGCCCCGAGCUCAACUUGGGAAUGGCAUUGGAAACUGGCGGGCUGGAGUGUGGCAGAGGGGGGUGGAAUUCCACGUGUAGCAGUGAAAUGCGUAGAGAUGUGGAGGAACACCAGUGGCGAAGGCGACUUACUGGACACAUAUUGACGCUGAGGUGCGAAAGCGUGGGGAGCAAACAGG
rnacentral:rRNA from 1 species